ACGGCUCUCCUGAACCCAGAAGUUUGCUUGGCGCGCUAGUGGCAAGCCGCAGAAGCUGGGGCUCGGCCGCUCUGAAACCCCCUCCACAAGUUCUUCCUACACGGGAACCCGUGGCCUGGGACCGCAGCGACUCCGGUAGAGUGGCCGUCGAGGGUGGGGAUCUGUCUGGUAGCUAUCGGAAGCCAGCGGGUCUACCCCUGCGCGGGCCCCCAGCUUCCGUGGCCCCGCUGUGGAGUUCCUACAGGAGCGGAAGGAUCAGCCCGUCUUUGGGUUAGACUCUGGAAUAAAAUCCAAUGUGCCUCGUCGUCCAAAUCGCCUCCAAUUUUAGAAUGAGGGGAGAGGGAGAGAUAGAUGGAGAUCUGCCUAGAUGCCGGAGCAAACACCUUUCAACCGUCCGCACAGAGUGGAGCUGGUUUUCAGGCUGGAGAAAGAACCGAGGGCUUCCUAGGAACUAACUGUAGAGCUGCUGUUGAGUUGCAGCCCCCUCUGGUGCAUCUUGACGUUGGAGAUCCAUCAGUUCUGGGGUUCUGAAGAUGGAGACUAAGCGGGGAUCUCACAUAAGCAUUCCAAUUUCUGAGCAGCUUGCAUUGAGAGCUAAGAAGCAAGAAGCUGCCCAUGGCAGAUUGCUUGAAAACUCAACCCCCCUGCUCCCCUCAGAGGGUGACAGAAAGGCAACCAUUUGAACCCAAGGACAAUUCCUAGUCACAAGAAAUAAUGCAUGCAAAUUAAGUUAGGAAAUUUAUCUGGAAGUUGCAUUUCACUAGGUCAGUCUGCGGCCCUCGAUCUCAGAGAUGACUAAUGGAUCUUUGGGAAUCCAACUCUGAAGUUGGUUUUCCGUGUGGAUCCUGGAAGCUGCUUCACUUGAGAUGUUUUAUGUGAGAGCUGCCAAGGGAACCUUGGGUAAAACUUUGCAGGAGUGUCUCUGAGAACAUUAUUCAUAAUUAAAAAAAUGAUUCAUAG